rnacentral:rRNA from 1 species
AGCAGCCGCGGUAACUCCAGCUCCAAUAGCGUAUAUUAAAGUUGUUGCAGUUAAAAAGCUCGUAGUUGAAUUUCGGGGUCAGUAGAUUGGUCGUGCCACUGGUAUGUACUGGUCUCACUGGCUCCUCCUUCCUGAUGAACCGUAAUGCCAUUAAUUUGGUGUUGCGGGGAGACUGGACUGUUACUUUGAAAAAAUUAGAGUGUUUAAAGCAGGCUAACGCUUGAAUACAUUAGCAUGGAAUAAUGAAAUAGGACGUUCGAUCUUAUUUUGUUGGUUUCUAGGAUUGACGUAAUGAUUAAUAGGGAUAGUUGGGGGCAUUAGUAUUCAAUUGUCAGAGGUGAAAUUCUUGGGUUUAU